rnacentral:rRNA from 1 species
CCCUUAGAUGUUCUGGGCCGCACGCGUGCUACACUGAGUGGAUCAGCGGGUCAGGUUGCGCGAAAGUGUUUCCUAAUCUUGAAAUCCGUUCGUGAUGGGGAUUGACGGUUGCAAUUUUCCGUCAUGAACGAGGAAUACCUUGUAAGCGCGGGUCAUCAUCCCGCGCUGAAUACGUCCCUGCCCUUUGUACACACCGCCCGUCGCUCCUACCGAUUGAGUGGUCCGGUGAGGCUUUGGGAUCUGGGCGGAAAGAGCGUUUCGCUGUUUCUGCCCGGAAAACUCAGUCGAACCUUAUCAUUUAGAGGAAGGAGAAGUCGUAACA